rnacentral:lncRNA from 1 species
UAAAUUUUAUGACUCUGACCGGGUUGUCUCUAGCCCAUCACGUAGCGCUUCCGGACCAUGGUGUUGGGUUGGAUGGUCAGUCAUGUUCUUGUUUGAUUGUUGGCUGGCCGGUUGGCCUUUAAUCUCUAACCCUUGGUUUGGGUCGUCUGUCGGUCAUGUUCUUGUUUGAUUGUUGGCCGGUGGGUCGAUCUAUGCCUAGGAUGGUUCGGGGGUGUUACAGAAUGUAGAAACCCGUUAAAAAAAAAACAAAAAACAAAAAAAAGAAAAGAAAAAGAGAAUAGUCGAGUAUCUUUGUGGUGGUCAAGGCACGGUCAAUAAGGAUCGAUCGAGAACCUUUGAAGUAGAGGUGGGCGAAGAAGUGAUCGUUAGUGAACUAUGAUUCGAAUAAGUUGCUCACCCAUAGUUAGAAGAUGUCUUAGAUUGUUUAGACGGACGUUUUGGAAGCAUAACAUUUUUGGAAGCACGACGGUUUAGAAGCUUGACGUUUUGGAAGAAUGACGUUUCUUCAACACGAAUUUUUCGCGAAACUUCGUAUCAGCGGAAUAUUAUUUCGAAGACAUUGGAAACCUGACGGGAAUUAAGCAUGACGGGAAGCACG